UACGAAGGGGGCUAGCGUUGUUCGGAAUUACUGGGCGUAAAGCGCACGUAGGCGGACAUUUAAGUCAGGGGUGAAAUCCCGGGGCUCAACCUCGGAACUGCCUUUGAUACUGGGUGUCUUGAGUAUGGAAGAGGUAAGUGGAAUUGCGAGUGUAGAGGUGAAAUUCGUAGAUAUUCGCAGGAACACCAGUGGCGAAGGCGGCUUACUGGUCCAUUACUGACGCUGAGGUGCGAAAGCGUGGGGAGCAAACAGG
rnacentral:rRNA from 2 species